AAAAGCUAUGAGGUCACUUCAUACAGUGUCAUGAUUGCUCAAAAUCAGUUCAAGGUAAAAGAUUGGGUGAGUAAAGUUCGGAUUACACUUUAUACGAUUGGGUGGAUGUCUUGUUAAAGGGUUUGAGUUGAAUCACUUAAAGAAAUGGGAAGAGUUCACACGAAACCAACAACAGCUAUAGCAAUAACAUUGGAUAUCUUGUACAUGGUGAAAGAGUAAACGACAAAAGCAACAACAGCUAUAGCAAUAACAU
rnacentral:misc_RNA from 1 species